rnacentral:rRNA from 1 species
CACGUAGGGCGCGAGCGUUGUCCGGAAUUAUUGGGCGUAAAAGAGCUCGUAGGCGGCCUGUUGCGUCCGCUGUGAAAAGCCCCGGGGCUUAACCCCCGGGUCUGCAGUGGAUACGGGCAGGCUAGAGGUAGGUAGGGGAGAAUGGAAUUCCCGGUGUAGCGGUGAAAAUGCGCAGAUAUCAGGAGGAACACCGGUGGCGAAGGCGGGUCUCUGGGCCGUAACUGACGCUGAGGAGCGAAAGCAUGGGGAGCGAACAGG